rnacentral:rRNA from 1 species
AUUGAACGCUGGCGGCAGGCCUAACACAUGCAAGUCGAGCGAGCGGCGGACGGGUGAGUAAUGUAUGGGGACUGCCCGAUAGAGGGGGAUAACUACUGGAAACGGUGGCUAAUACCGCAUACUAUCGGAUAACCCAUAUGGGAUUAGCUAGUAGGUGGGGUAAAGGCUCACCUAGGCGACGAUCUCUAGCUGGUCUGAGAGGAUGAUCGCCACCACGGGGACUGAGACACGGCCCAGACUCCUACGGAGGCAGAAGUGGGGAAUAUUGGACAAUGGGCGAAAUCCUGCGACAGCCAUGCCGCGUGUAUGAAGAAGGCCUUAGGGUUGUAAAGUACUUUCAGCGGGGAGGCGUUACCCGAAGAAGAAGCCCCGGCUAACUACGUGCCAGCAGCCGCGGUAAUAC